UUUAUUUGGUCUCAGUGGAAUCAGGGGAAGUCUUUACUGAAUAAAUGUCUCAAAGGCGUGACCUGUCCCUCAGGGAGAGGAGUUGAUACGAAUAGCAGUGAUACGCCCCAACCAGACUGGGAGAUCAGGGCUGCUGCUGAGCCGCUGCUGGUCAGUGGGUAUCACGUGCCUGAGCUUUUUACGUACAGCCGUGUGCUCAUCUGCUGCGUGUUUUGUUUUUGUCGUGUUGUCGUUAUAUGUUAGGUCUUAAUUCUCCUUUGUGGGGCAGAAUUCAGUUUCAUGUGAGGAUUGGAGGUCUGGAAACGUACACUCACUAACUUCAGAAAAAUCAUUUUCACACUUCUAUUGAUGUACCAGUUCAGUUUAAAUACUAUUGACAGAGUUGGGCUGAAAUGAGUAUUUGUUGCUGACUCAUAAUUGUACAAAUUAGGAUUAAGCCUUCUCAUAAGGUAGUAUAACAUCUGGAAGUCUGUGUGCAAGUGCUGCUUGCUUUGUUCCAGUCAGCAGCCCUCCUCUGUUUACUGGAACUCAGACUCAGUACCAAAAGAAUGGGGCUGCCAGCGUUCUCAUACUGGCAUCCUCAGCAGUUUUUUGAUCUGCAGUUGGUUACAGGAUUGGCUUGUUUGCAGUGAAACAGGUGAGGGGGGAUUGCUUCUGAGUGCAGUGGAAGUAAGCUUUAGAGUCCCUAGUUUUGAUUUUAAGAACGGGUUAUUUGGCUCACUAAGUGAAGCAGGGUUAUAGCAAAAGUAUUGGCAGUAUUUAUUUCAAAAAGUCAUAGUGCAGUUACCACAUGAAAGCACCAAGUUUUUAUUGUAAGUGGACAUGUAGGUCAUGUAAAUACAGCUCUGGCUGUGCUGCUUUUUGUUUACAUUGUGGGCAACAACGUUUGCAAAUAUCGCAUCCAGAAUUCCGAGCUCAUACAACUAAUUUAAAAACAGCCUUUGCUAAGGCAGAUUCCGAGGGAAUAUUUCAUGAGAGCUGCAACAAUGUGUGGGCCAUUCCAUAAUCUGUGGAUGUCAUUCGUGCUUUUGGUUAUCUUUUGUAAUUUGAUGGCUGAAUGGCGUUGGAAAUUGGAAUUUUUACCUACCAGUAACGUUAACUAACUCUUUAAAGCUUGUUUGCAUGUGAAUGAUUUCCUUAAAAUUAUAAGCAGUGACAGGUUUGGUGACCUUGUUGGUGUUGGCAGUGCUGUGCAGGAGCUGGGUAUGUCUGCAGAGCUCCAUCUGUGACCUGAGUUAGCCCUAGGAGAGCUCCUGGGCCACACUGAGGGAUUUUGUAUGCUUUUUGCAGCAGGUGAUGUUUGCUUUUCUCUUUCUGCAGCUGUAGGAGAAACAUUCAAAUAAUGAGAACGUUUUAGGGCUCAUGUUAGCAGUGGGUAUUUUGGUAUUUGUGUUCCAUGCUUGUCACUGGGGGUGUUCCUUGAAGGCUUGCACGCUGCGGAGCCAGACACCGCCUCUGUGGAUUGCAGUUGUCCUCUCACUGCCAUCCCUGCGCGCUGCUGGAUGCUGAGGGAGCGCUCCCUGGCCGUGCUGCUGCUGGGGAGGAGCUCGUGGUGCUGCUGGUUCUGAGCCGUGGUGGGGCUGAGGUGGGAGCUCUGCUGUCAGCUCCAGCCUGAGACCUGCAGCGUUCAGAAGAAAAUGGGAUAUACCGAGGGGAGGUUAGGAAAGAGAAAAGGCAGACAGCAGCUGUUGUGUAUGGGAGAGAAGAUUCGGAGUUGCUGCUGCUGGCAGCAGAUUUAGCUGGAGUGGGAGCAAGCCUCCAAAGGAGGGGGAUCCAGGCCAGGGGGCAGCCAGAGGUACAACAGCUUCUGUUGGAGGGCCCGACGCUUGCGUAGGGCUCCAGCCAGAGCCUGAUGGGUGCAGUGUGAUGGCAGGCAGGCAGUAGGCAUGCUGAGGUUGCUAUUUUGUUAGCUUUCAUGCUACAUAACAUCAUCUGUUUAUUUAGAAAAGCAUGUUUUUCACCCCAGUCAGAGUCAUUUCCCGUGAAAAGCAAAGCUCUCUUGCUGGGAGGACUGCUGGGUUCUGUGAAACACGAGAGCGACCAGAAAAGUUACAGAAAAUCUUGAAACACAGGGGAAUCCUUCCCUGCAUUUCUUCCAUCACCCACGUACCUCCCAGAAUGCCAGUAUGAGAGGAGAGCAGGGCAAGGAUACAGUUCAUGUCUGGGCUGUGUGCACAUCCUGGGCAGGUGUUUGUGAUGUGCAGUGUGGGCUGUACCCCCACCAACACGUGCAGCUGCUGGCACGUACCACCAAAGUGUGGCACAUCAGCUUUUAUAGACAGUUUGUUAGUUAGAGUUUGAAAUGCCAAGCUACUUCUGAUCUUAGAGUGGCAAACUUGCCCUGUAAGCAACUUUCUAGAUUUCACGUAUGACUGCAUUAGUAGAGUCUAUAAUCUGUUGGCAGUUACGGCUGCUGGAGCUUUGCAAUUUCAUUAAUUUUAUGUGCUAAUAAAUGGCUCAUGGGCAGCUCCCUCUUACCAACCAAGGCAGUAGUCCUGACUAAAAAAUCAAGAGACUUAACGAAGGAGAAUGAAAUGUGGAGAUCUUUUUGUUCGACGUCAUCUUCUGCUCUUCUAGCUCAGUGCACUUGAGUGAGGUUUUCAAGUUUUUCAUUAUGUUUCUGCUUUUUAAUAAAAACACACUGAUUCUCAUGAGGCUGGGGAGACAUCAUUUGCCUCAAGAACUGUAGUCAGGUUGUAAGUUGUCGAUACUGCAGCGUGUCAUCCUGCUGGCAGGGCUGAGCUGAUGGCUGUGAAUUGGCCAGCGUGCAUCUAUGUGCAGUGCUGCGGAUACCCCGGGGCUCUGAGCCUCCAGCUGGUCAGCAUCACACAGUUGUUAGCAGUACGUGGUGAGAAACACCUGUGAGGGGAGCACUCUCAUCCCAGGUGUGUUGGGUCCUGGCAGGCAGGGGCUGGGUGUGUGUGCCAGGCACCAGACAGGCACAGAGGGCAACAAGCCCGGGCUACCUUAACUGCAAACGAGUGACUCAGCUGUUUCUGCAGAGUUUGGAGUUUCAGCAGAAUAUUUCUUUUUCCGCUAUGCUGACAGCUUUUCCACCCACGUAUUGCAAACGUGGCUUUGUGCCAUGGAGGUAUUUUAGGAUUAUAAAGCGUAGUGUAAAUUUUUAGAGUUACAUACGAAAAAAGGUGCCUUCUGGAUCUUGAAAUCUGUAGGUUGUAGGUAGACUGGGGAAGUAAGGGAGUUCUUUGUAAACCCUGAGGCUUGGAGGAGAUGGAUCCCCAUCUCCUGUCAAUCACCUGUUUUUAUUUAUUCCACUGAAGACCAGGCAGUGUUUUCAGAUGACCUGUAUCUACAGAAAUAGAAUACUCUGAAAUCCCCCAAAGUUUUGGCAGAGCUUUUAUUGUGGGCAGUUACUCAUUCGCACACCUGGUACGUACUGUUGGUCCUGUUAUUGUAAGGCAUUCCCAAACAGUCCUGCAGGGAAAAUAAACUGCAGAGAGAUAUACAGGAAAUUAACCAUAAUAAAACGCAAAAGGUUUCUUAAUCUGUCAAGUGUAUUGCAGUGUUCAGUGAGUUACUGUACUCAGCUGAAGAUGAAAUUGGUCGGAGUGUGCCUGUGAUGUUACUGCAGCUCGCUGAGCCACACGCAGAUACACACAGUGCGCCCAGCCGGUCCUUUUUCUGUCCUUGCUGUGAGGCUGUGCUCCUGGCUGUCGGUCUGGGACCUCUGCGUGGAUCAGGCACGGCAGGACUGAUUGAGGAGGAGGACAGCCAGGAGCUGGGGUUGUGCUCGGUCAUUUCUGUGCUCAGGCAGCCAGCUGUGGAAUCCAAAGGUUUGCUCUGUUGUCACAAAUUUUUUAUGCCACAAAUGCUGAUGCGGCAGCAAAAGCCACUAUCGAGGGCCUCACCACAUCAUGGGAAUGGAGAAGAGAAAGAGCAGAAAUCCAGAGAAACGCUGUUAGUGACCAGUAACCGCCAGGGCAUGGCAGAUGGCUCUUGUGAAGCUGGCAAGGCCACGGCUUCUCUAGACUCCCUGUCAGCUGGAGGGGCAGUAAUUCAUCGGUGAUGUCUGCAGCAGUCCUCAGUUCGCUUUUCUGGUUGGAUUUUGGGGUUUGGGUGUCUGUUUUGUUUUGGUCUUUUAAGAAGUUACUUCCAAAGAAAAGAUAUAAUAGAAUAUGACAGCAUAUAUUAAGCAUAAAAGCAUUAUGUUCCUCUGGGAGCUGUUGGAGGAGAAGCAGCCGAGCCGCUGAAAUGCAACCCCACCACUGCCAUGAGUGCCCGCCAGCAGGUCAGGUCUCUGCGGUCGUGCUGGGCGGGUCUUGGGGAACCAAAGGGACAAGUGACUUUUGUCCCUGGCCAGCAAGAAGCCACUAGGCAUGGAGACAAGCUCUCCCUGUUUCACCCUCAGGCUGCCAGCGGGCCAGGAAACGAGUCCUCCCAGCACCUUGCGCUGCAUGCUGUCACGCUGUCUGUGUCACAGCAGGGCAGCCUCCACCACGGCUCCUUCAGUGUCACAAGGAAGGAGAACAGUCCUGCUCCAUUGCUGGAGCACUGGCUUGGCAGCCUUUGUCUCUCUAGGCUGAGAAUGGGGGUUCGUGAGCCUGAAAUUCAAAGUGAAGCUGGUGGAUGUGAGUGCCAUGGGAACCAGAGCAAGCUGGAGGUUUACACGGAUCCCCGCAGGGUUAGGGCUGCCGAGUUUCAUAUGGUGCUAGAAAAAAAACAGUGUCUCUGGAAUAAAAAUCUGUCUGUGUCUCGAGGCAGCUGUGGGCACCUCCAGCCAGCACCUGAUUCACUUGCGAACAGUUACCUGCGAGGCAUCUCAGCUGGCAGACACUUGUCCGAGGCGCCGGAGGCAGCAUGGGCUGUUUUCAGUUUAAUCUAUUUUUAAUGUGGCGCCUUAUUCCAAACUGCUGAGUUCUCACAUUUCCAAGCCGUCGUGGUAAUAGGAUUGUGCAGCCUUAUUGGCUAGAGUUUUCCACCCCCAGUGCCAAAAGUUAGGCUCCUAAAUCCAUAUUUAAAUGCCUAAAUGAGGCUGACGAAUCCUGCAGGAGUCAGUAGGAACUGGACGUGGUCUGCACCUUGGAAAAUAACCAGGCCAUUGGGUGUGUGAGCAACGCCUUGCUGUAGGCACCCAGAUGUUGUGUUUUUAUCCAGAAUGGCUGUGCGUGUCAGUGUGAAGGAGGGAGGUGAGAUUAGUGCAAACAGGAGCUUUGUUGAGAAUUUGGAAAUGGGAUACACUGAGAAUUGUAGCAAGUGCCCAUCCCUUGCGUUGGCUUCAUGUCUGCACUACUUCCGUACCCACGAUCUAACACUGCAUAUUUUUACUCUGCUACCUUCUUCUGCUACUUCUAUUUGUGGCACCCUGCUAGACUUGUUCCCAAGCCAAUCCAAAAUUCUUCUGAAACUCCCUUUGCUAACAGCAGCAUGAAAGCAGAACUCCGCAGCGGCUGCAGCAGCUAUGGCAGGGGUUUGCUUUUAGCUGAGUGGUGUUGGUCACUUCAGCCUUUUGAGUUGGACUGAAAAUGGGAAUGCUGUCUGCCAAGAGAAGCAGCUUGUAAAAGUUGUAUGAUGUUGCUUUUUUCAUGGCAGACCUGAGAAAUUCUGUAUGUGAAACUUCCAGGCGGCACUUGAAAUAUGUGCUCUGAUUGCUUUGUGUGGAAGGCUUCUUUUUUGUGUUAAUACUGCAAGGUAACACAUAAGACCAUGGAAGUACAGUGUGCUUUCAUCCAGAUGAGGCAGAAUUUAUUUAGCUUGAAAGCUAAAUAGUACUGCAGUAUGAAAGUGUCAGUUCAGUUUUUAUCCUGUUUUCUACAGAGGAGGAAUAAACUGUUUCCAGAGUCUCACCAGAAGAUAAAAUUCCCUUGGUUAGUCAAUGGCAAUGUGCUGGAGACUUAGAAAACUUCAGCAGACCACAUCCUUUCGUCCAGAGAGCACGGAUGGAGUGGAGGAACCUUUUUCUGGUGCUUUGGGUACCCCAUUACCCUGACCCAUCAUAGUGCUAGCUGACUGCUGGCCCAGGAGCACCAGGGAUGAACACUGGGUGCAGUGCUGUGCAGCCUUAAGAGCCAGAUCCUGACGUCAAGAGCAGAGCUUAUGUGCUGAGGCUUCCCAAACAGUGUGUUUGAUGUCUAGAGGACAGCCGGAAAAAUGCAGCUGUUUCUGCGAUCUCCUUCCACUCUCAGUUCCCUUGCCAUCUCAUCUGAAAACAGCAACUUCAUGCAUGCUUCAUGCUUGUGUCUUCUGAGGGCUUCCAGGGUCUCCCCAGGGACAGAACCAGCAAUCCUGCUGAAACAAGAGAGUGCUACUCCCUCCUUCUGGCUGGUGUCAGUCUUCUAAGUCACUGUCAUUUAUUUUAGAGCAUUCACUGGGGAAGCGAGUGACCUGGGUUCAGUGCGUUCCUCAAUCUGCUCAUCUCUCACUUCCCAUGAGACAGUCUAAAAGCCAGCCUCCAGUUAUUCUGGGUGAAACCCUUCAGCAUGAAACCAUGCCUCCCAGUAAUGGGGCGUUUCUGCUUCCUGUCCCACUGUUGGUCAGCAGCUUGUUUCAGAGUGAAGCUAUCAGGGCUUCAUGUUGUGAGGAAGCUCAGGUACAGUUGUCUCGCUGGGAGCUGGAUUGCCAGACCCCACUCCGCUGGCAUUUGGAGAAGACAUCCCUCAAUCCUUGUGUGCCUGUGAAUGAGAGUGGAAAAAUGCAGCUCCUUGGAGAUGCUGUGCUGGUGUGGGAGCAGAAAGCUUGCAUGUGAAUCAGACCACAGAGUGCAGGUGACUGAGGGGGAGGAACCUUGCUGAAACUGGAAUUCAGUGCCUAAGUCAGGUUUAUGAACUGUCUAGUUUUAGGUAUUUGGUUGGUGGUAACUCCUUGAAGCUUGUCUCUGCUUUUGGGUCUGCACCCAAGGGUCCUAGUGGGUCAGCCAGGAUCUCUACUGCUGCUCUGAUAAACGUUUGCAAGGUUUAUUAAAUGUGCUCUCUGACGUUCUUUUGUGGAGACAGUAAUUUGACAGUCAUCACGUGAGAAACUCCGAAUUUGCCAUCUGGCCCGGCAAGACUUAGUUCUUCUCACCAUUAAUUAAACUGACGUUACUGCACGCUUUUAUGAUGGUGGUUAUGAUCUGUCCUGUGAUAACACCAGGGCUGGUUCUGAGGCAUGCACAGCACCUUCCACUCGCAUGACGUUUGUGGGUGGUGCAGCCGAGCACCUCUGGACCUCAGUGUCAUCUCUAAUAACUGAGUUUCAGGGCCCCACUCAGGCACCUUCCCCUGGAGCGGGUUCUUCUGGUUCUGAGGGGAUGGUUUCACAAGUAGGAAGACAUAGCUAGGGGGGAAGAAGGGGGCAGCUGCUUGGCUGUAAUAGAGUUGUAUAACAUGCCCUGACAGGAGAUCUUACUGACCACAGCUUCGCCCUGCUUGGUGAGGCUGUGACCAUUAAUGGGAAAGUGGAUUGGCAGCAACAGAUAGAGCAGGGAGCAAAAAGAGAGGAAGGAAGUGAAAUAGGACGACAGCCGAAGACAGCUGCAAAAAGCAGGUAGGCACAUUGUGGUGGCAGCUGGAGUGUGGAAGAAGGAAACUAAGCUUCUUUGGUAAUGAGACAGAAGGUGUCUGUAUCCUAUCUGGAAUGGACAUGUGUGGUGCCCAGCAAUUUAACCUGUUUGUUAUCCCCCUUCAGACCCCGCUCCAGGUGCUGGAUGGCAGAGUGUUUCCUAUCUUCAGUGGUUUCCAAACUGUGACUUGGCAAAUGGGCUGAGACUGGUAGGUUUGAAAAAAAUGCUGGAGUGCGAGGCUUGGGAGAAGUCAUUCCCAGCACUAACUCUUGCCAUUUUUCUCUUCCCUGUCAAAGCCUUGAAUGCUCAACUGCUCAGAGUUAACUCAGCAGCUUCAAGAGAUUCAAUAAUAUUUGUUUUUACCCAAAUCCCUCGAAGUCUGAGGGAAUGGAGACAGAAUCAGUUUACUGAGAUGAAAAGCCAAGAAAAGUAAAUCAUCCUUGGGUCAGGGUGAGCUCUCAUUUGAAGAGGCCACAGAUGGCAGGGAUGUUCAUGAAUCAGCAGUUUCACAGACCUCUGCCCAUUCAGGGAGUAACGCGUGUAAACAAACAUGAAAACGGCACAGAGCCGCAGAGCUUUCCAGAUCCUUCCUGUUCCUUCCAUGCAGUCGAGGGGGCCCUCCUCAGAGGAACCAGACAGAAGAAAUGGGCUGCUGCCUUGGACUCUGGGCUUGUCCCAGGAUGGUCAUCCUAUGCCUGCUUCAGCUGUGUGAGAGCCGGAGGCUAGAUUGACGGCAGGAUGUCCCCUCUUCUCCCAUUCGUGCAGCCAGGUAUGCUCUUGAGUACAGGAGGCAGCUGCUGAGUAGCCUGGUGGCAGGCGUUCGGAGUUAUCUGAGAUGAAGGGAAGGAAGGAGAGGUGAGGUAAGGACGUGAGCUAUUGCACCAUUGCACUGCUGCAGGUGUGGAACAGCUCCUGUACAUGUGUGCUUUGUGAGGUGGGCCUGCCCCUGGUGUGCUCCUGCUCUUUGAUUCAUGCACUGGAUCCACGUGCUGCUGAGGCUGGGACCUUAGAAGCCCCACAGAGCUCUAGCCUGUCUGGUGUUAGGGACGUUCUUCCUGCAAUUAUUUGAUGUUUGUCAAAUGUUAUGCCAGAAAAUGCAACCAGAGGGAUGUGCUGAGAGCCCCCAGUUUGGUAGGUCUGUGUUUGUAUUCCAGGGCCUGCUGGCCAAGAGAUGCAGUGUUACUUCCAUGCUGCCCAAGCGUCAGCCUGGGCGGUGCUUCUACCAGAAGAUAACAUAUAAGUGAUGAGAACUGGCCAAGUCAGUGACUGUGCCUGAAUUGUAUUCGAGACUUUGUCAUGGUUUGAACCAUGACAGACUUUUUGUGAGUAGUCUAUUUGGGAUGAAACACAGCCCAAAUCUUCAAACCGUUGUGUGGGAUGGCAGCUGUGAGACUUCUAUUGAAGCUGCUAGGCAUCACACAACCAAAACUUCUGAGUGUGCUUCUAAUGAGGAGAUGCUGCUACUAAGGCUCUGAGACAAAGGGAAGUGAGGGGAAAAUGGACUCUGCCAUUCCCCCAGGAGCAACACCUCACAACAUGUCAAACCUAGCAAUUGUAUGUAAGGAGCAAUUACAGUGGAUGUCACAGGAGAUGUACAGGGACAUCUAAGGCAUUGGGAUUUAUUAUCAGUAAAUCAGAUACUUCAAGUUCAUUGCGAAGUUGGAGAACAUCUAACUGUGUAAAGGAUCUGAGGGAAUUGGAUGAAGUGAAUUUUGUGACUGUGAAGUCAGACAAUUAAGUUGUCAUCCAUGUUUCCAGAUAAUAGAAAAAUCCUUUGAGAAAGUUACUUCUCAAGGAAAUGUCUAUCUCAUAUAGUAAUGAAUAGUCAAGAAAGCAGCUGUGUUUUUAAAAAACAUGUAUCCACCAAAUAAUUACAAGUUGGUAUGCUUAAGGAGGGAAGAAAUAUGCAAUUAUUUGGUGUUAUUCUUUUGAGGGUUUCUUGUGCUGGUGUCCACACUGUGGCAACAUUAUCUUAACCUACUUUGACUGUCAGUGGUAGAGCAUAGUAGCUGGGGGUGGCCGAGUGCACAGUGGGAUCUGCCACAGCGCAGUGCAGUGCAGACGUGCUGGGGGUGGCUGUGACCUGGGACCCAGCAGCUGGGGGUGAGCGCCUGGAAGAGGAUGUUUCUGAGUGGUGCUACCUAGAGAAAAAGCAGCCUGCUGGUGAGAUUCAGGAGUGUGAAGCACCUUAGGGCAUCAGGGUUUAGAAAGGGGUGGAAGAACAUGGGACAGAAAUGAGCAGUACAGAGCAGUGACAUGCUUGAUGAAAAGCCAGCCUUACUGAGUGAGCACAGUCACAGAAUGAAAAGCUGCCCACUGGGCAGAUACCAGUGAUCAUACCAUAAGCAGGAAAAUGGCAUCAAUCUAGACACAGUGCUUUUUGUGACUCUUAAGGCAUUGAUGGAUGAAGACUCAAUGAAGAGAAGCUUCCUUUUUCUUAUGUUUUGACAUCUUUCAGGCUUAAACAUGAACUAACUACCAUUAUCCUAAUUUUACAGAUGGGGACAGACAGGUUAUGUGACAUGCUCCAGGUCACAUGAGCAGUGUGUGUCAGAGUGAGAAACAGCACCUGGAUCUCUCAAUUGUGAAGCUGUUGCUCUUGGCACUGCGUCAUCCUGACUGCAAACAAAACACUGAGAUUGACUUUGCCUGUGUCCUUCUUAUGCCUACAAAUGUGCCCACCUGCCAGCUUCAGAGCCAGCAGUCCACACCAUGUACCCAAGGCAAGCCUGAUGCUUCUGCACGACAUCCAAAACUAUCAGUGCUGGGACCAGAGAGACUAAUAGGAAAACUUAAAAUUUUUAAGUCUGCCAGCCCAACAGCUCCUCUGGAAGAGCAUCCAGACGACACAGCGGGGAGCAGGCACUGCUUGCCUGCACUCAGCAAUGUGCUAUUGAAUCACUGGGCCACAAAGCAAGUGCAUGCGAGGGAGCGUGGCUGCCUUUCCUACCGGUUUGAGCAUUCACAUGGGAGUUUGAGAGUCUGGACUCUGCUCCCAGGACUGUUUAUGCAUUUUACGUGGAACAGUCACCAGGCAUGCUGUGGACCAUCCAUCAAGUCUGUACCACCCCAGUUUGUUUUGGACAGGAGACAAUGUUACAGGCUAUUCUAAAACCAGAGUAAGUGACAUCCAAACAUCCCUAACUUGUUCAUCCAGCACGUCAUUUUAGCACAGAAGACAACCAUGUUGGCCACAUACAGUUUGACCUUAGUAAAUCCACGCUGCCUGUUCUGAGUCGCAUUCUUGUCCGUGUGUUUGGAAAUGGCUUCCAAUGGAUUUGCUUGGUAAUAUUCCCAGAUAAAAAAUGUACUGAUACCUUAAAAAUUACAUCUAGUUCUUUGCUAAUGCUUAGGCUAAUCCCUUUCAGAAGAAGCCAGUUGAUUACAUGUGUGGAGUUUGUGACACCUACGGCAUGAGCCUGAUGUGCUGGUUGAGGGAAUUUUUGGUAGGGAGCGGCUGAGCAGGUCAAAUUCAGAAGGAACCUAGGCAGGACACGCCUACUACUUCUCUGUUGGGAGUCUCUUUUUUCCCAGCCUGGCCACCAUGAGUGACCAUCCUACUGUUGUUGCUAUGGCUUUUGUGUUACCAUAAGGCAGUUCUAAACGGAAGAAACAGGAAACAAGGAGGAACCAGAUCAACAGAUGGUAGAGCAUGGUAUUGUCUGACCCAAGUGCCAACCCAGCAGGGAUUUGACUGGUUUUGAAAGAGGAAGAAAUAAGAGAGAAGGGGUAAGGUUAGUUGUUUGGAGAGUUGGGUGCAGGCCUGGUCAUUUCUAGAGAGCAUGGGUAUUUCAGUCAACAGGAAGGGUCAGGCACUUGCCAAAAUACACACUAGCACAAUGGCCUGUAGCAGGUUGAAUUCACAGAAGACGGUUGAGUUUCACUAGGUAUGACUCUGGCAAAGCCUUUUUCCUGCUCUGGCCACGCAGUCCGACCUGGUGACUUUCCAACCAUUUUCUUUCUUACUUUCUAUCAUCAUACUUAUCUAGCUAUUGUAGUUCAGGCCCUUGUGAACCAAUCUGGCAUGCCCUUGGGUGGCUUGAAGCUCUCUCCUUGUGACAGAUAACAGCACUUGCUCCCAGCCAACGUGACACCUCUGAAGUCUUCUGAAUCACUCCUUUUGUAUGGAAAACUCUUGGUAAUGCUAGUCAGAACUGGCAGGAGUCACUGGUGUGUUCACAGCUGGAAAGUUUGGCAGACCAGGUACGUCCCCUGUGACUGGAACUAGAACAGGUAAUUGCAAUUGAGGAAAGAGGCAGGAAGGUGCAGUGGUGGGAGGCAAUGAGCCUGAGUGCAUGAACACUUGGGCAGGCAGCAGUGCACAUGGCUUGCUAAUUAGACAAAAUAUAUGUAAUCCUGUCAUCUUUUACUGUACCAAUAUUAAUGUGAUUGAGCAGCUGAAUUUCUGCCUCAUUUGCAAUCUUCUUACCUAGCGCAUUAGAAAACUUUCAGCAGUGGCACACAGAAAAGCAAAUAGGACAUUGGUGUAGAGAUAAGCCUGCUGUGCGUGUGCACGUCCAUGUGCAUCUCUGAAGGAGACACAGUCUCAGGCAUGUAUGGCUAAGGUUUAUAUUGCUCUGCACGGCUGGCUGAGGUUUGAAGGUCUGAAGGUAAGUGUGUGUGUACCUGCAUGCUGGAGUGCAGUCCCUCAUGCGCUAAUGAAAUCUGACUUGCUGGGUCACCCUCCUGCUUCAUUUGCAGUGACACAAUAUCAUUUAAAGUUGUUUGCUUAUUACAGAGAUAAUAUCACAAGGUGUGGUGCCCUGAUGGGAGCCUAGCAAGAAAGUAACACUCAUUCACCCACCCACCUUUGGCAGAUUGUCUGAGGGUCCCUCAUUGGCUUCGUGACGGAAAGCGGUUGAUUCACCUCCACCCAGCGGUAAUUACGUGUUGCUGCCUACUGGAAGUUCCCAUGUUUGGCAUUGGACUGAUUAAAGCCAUUCUCCUUUGCCGUCUGUCAGACUGUGUAAAAUGUCGAUUCCCCCUCCUGCUUGUGAACUCCCUUCUGGAAAGCCACAGUGAGCCUUUUCUUAAGUUGGUUCCUUUCCCAGAGUUGGUCUUAAAGGACAUCCCACAGAAAUCUGCUCUCAGCCAGUGCCUGCAGAUGUAGCCCUCUCCUACUCGCACUUACCUCUCCUGGAUCCUGUUAAUGGAUGGAUUACUGGACAGAGCCCAGCUGUGUGAUGGUGCUGGCACACUGAACAGGAAGCAGCAGUUCUUGCUUUGAGCAUCAGCCAUCACAGAGGACCUGAGCAAUGAACUGAGUGUGUAGAUUUAUUUGCAGGGUGAGGGAUGAUUAAGGUGAGGCACCUUUGACACACUGAUGGACUGGGAGAAGGGGCUUUGCUAGAUGCCUGAUGACUGCCCAUGGGAUACAGCUGGAAAAGGUCUUUUGUUUCCACCACAUGGUAAGAUCAUCACCUCAGGAGUGUCCCUGCUGCUGCCCAUACCCAGCAAAGCCUCAGGCCCAGCGUGCCCAGAGCUCUGCUCCCAAACUCACAGUGCAAGCAGUGUCACACAGGCUGCAGUCCUCAGUGUGACAUCAGCACCGAUGGCACUGCUGGCCACCAUGGAUUAGGCAUGAGCUUCUUCACCCUGCCAAAGGCCCCUUUGGGUUCUUCAACCCAGCUGACAGCAGGUGAAGGCUGACACUGCCUGCUGCUGUUCAGCUUGAAGGAGCUGAUGGUGUCAGGCUGCAGGGGCAGCUGGGUGACACCAUGUAAAGAGCCGCAAAUUGCUGGCCAUCCUAGCAGAGAGGGGAGGGAGGCCAUGACCUGCUGCUCCCCACUGCAGGCACAGCCUUGGUGGCAAAGUUUGGCUGCAGCAGAUGAGAGAUAAGCCCUGUCUGUAAUCACAGCACACAGCCUCCAGGAAAGAAGUGAAGGCUCCAUUCUGCUGUGGCACCCAGCCCCUACCUGCACGGAGCAGUUGUCACUGCCAAGGAGACGCCAGGUGAACUCAGGAAAAGUGAAACAUCGUGAGAAAAAACAGGGAAUGAACCAGAGAGACAGAAUCUUACAAUAACCCCAGUGUAAACACAGGCCUAGUUUUUAUCUUGUGCAGAGAGAUUGUUUUUGAGAACAAAUGCAGAGUGAAAUGAAUUCAUAAACCUCUGUACCAGGUGCAAUCAUUAGUCAGUAAAUGAAUUACACAUAA